rnacentral:rRNA from 1 species
GCACAAGCGGUGGAGCAUGUGGUUUAAUUCGACGCAACGCGCAGAACCUUACCAGGGUUUGACAUCCUGUGCUCGACUCCGAAAGGGGUUUUCCCCGCAAGGGGCGCAGAGACAGGUGCUGCAUGGCUGUCGUCAGCUCGUGUCGUGAGAUGUUGGGUUAAGUCCCGCAACGAGCGCAACCCUCGCCUUUAGUUGCCAUCAUUCAGUUGGGCACUCUAGAGGGACCGCCGGCGACAAGCCGGAGGAAGGUGGGGAUGACGUCAAGUCCUCAUGGCCCUUACACCCUGGGCUACACACGUGCUACAAUGGCGGUGACAGUGGGCAGCCAACUCGCGAGAGUGAGCUAAUCCCAAAAAACCGUCCCAGUUCAGAUUGCACUCUGCAACUCGGGUGCAUGAAGGUGGAAUCGCUAGUAAUCGCAGAACAGCAGGCUGCGGUGAAUACGUUCCCGGGC